GGAAUGAGGGUAGCUGCGGCGACUGCGGCGGCUGGAGCGGGGCCGGCCAUGGCGGUGUGGACGCGGGCCACCAAAGCGGGGCUGGUGGAGCUGCUCCUGAGGGAGCGCUGGGUCCGAGUGGUGGCCGAGCUGAGCGGGGAGAGCCUGAGCCUGACGGGCGACGCCGCCGCGGCCGAGCUGGAGCCCGCUCUGGGACCCGCGGCCGCCGCCUUCAACGGCCUCCCAAACGGCGGCGGCGCGGGCGACUCGCUGCCCGGGAGCCCAAGCCGCGGCCUGGGGCCCCCGAGCCCGCCGGCGCCGCCUCGGGGCCCCGCGGGUGAGGCGGGCGCGUCGCCGCCCGUGCGCCGGGUGCGGGUGGUGAAGCAAGAGGCGGGCGGCCUGGGCAUCAGCAUCAAGGGCGGCCGCGAGAACCGGAUGCCGAUCCUCAUCUCCAAGAUCUUCCCCGGGCUGGCUGCCGACCAGAGCCGGGCGCUGCGGCUGGGCGACGCCAUCCUGUCGGUGAACGGCACCGACCUGCGCCAGGCCACCCACGACCAGGCCGUGCAGGCGCUGAAGCGCGCGGGCAAGGAGUUUUUUUUUUUUUUUUUUUUUGAGACAGUGUCUUGCUCUGUUGCUCAGGCUGGAGUGCAGAGGCACCAUCUCGGCUCACUGCAACCUCCGCCUCCUGGGUUCAAGAAAUUCUCCUGACUGGUGUGUGCCACCGUGCCUGGCUAAUUUUUGUAUUUUUAGUAGAGACAGGGUUUCUCCAUGUUGGCCAGGCUGGUCUCAAACUCCUGACCUCAGGUGAUCCGCCUGCCUCGGCCUCCCAAAGUGCUGGGAUUACAGGUGUGAGCCACCAUGUCCAGCCCAGAUAUGCAGUAGAGUAAUAUCUCUUUCCCAGUCAAAAUGUAAUACCUAUUUCUUAGCUUCGUUUAUUUAUUUUAUUUUUGUGAAUGCACUAAGCCAAAAACCAGAAUUUUUUUUUUUCUUUUUUGAGAUAGGGUUUCACUCUGUUACCCAGGCUGGAAUGCAGUGGCAUGAUCAUAUCUUACUGCAGCCUCCAUCUCCCAGGCUCAGGUGAUCCUCCCACCUCAGCCUCCUGAGUAGCUGAGACUACAGGCAUGUGCCACCACGCCUGGCUAAUUUUUGUAUUUUUUUUUCUUUUUUUUUUUUUUGUAUUUUUAGUAGAGCCGGGCACGGUGGCUCAUGCCUGUAAUCCCAGCACUUUGGGAGGCCGAGGUGGGCGGAUCACCUGAGGUCAGGAGUUUGAGACCAGCCUGACCAACAUGGAGAAACCCUGUCUCUACUAAAAGUACAAAACUAGCCGGACAUGGUGGUGCAUGUCUGUAAUCCCAGCUACUAGGGAGGCCGAGGCAGGAGAAUCUCUGGAACCCAGGAGGCGGAGGUGGCAGUGAACCGAGAUCGUGCCACUGCACUCCAGCCUGGGCAACAAGAGCAAAACUUCGUCUCAAAAAAAAAAAAAAAGUAAAAGAUAUA